GGCCUGGUGGUCUAGUAGUAUGAUUCGCCCUUAGGGGAUGUCUGGAAUAACAGUUCUUUGGGCGAGGUCCCGGGUUCAAUUCCCGGCCAGGCCC